rnacentral:rRNA from 1 species
UACGUAGGAUGCAAGCGUUGUCCGGAAUUAUUGGGCGUAAAGAGCGCGCAGGCGGUCUAUCAAGUCAGAUGUGAAAUAUCCGGGCUUAACCCGGAGGGGUCAUUUGAAACUGGUAGACUAGAGUACAGCAGAGGAUAGCGGAAUUCCCGGUGUAGUGGUGAAAUGCGUAGAUAUCGGGAGGAACACCAGUGGCGAAGGCGGCUUUCUGGCCCGUUCUUGACGCUGAGGCGCGAAAGCUAGGGUAGCAAACGGG